rnacentral:snRNA from 1 species
AUUGCUUCUCGGCCUUUUGGCUAAGAUCAAGUGUAGUAAAAUUUAUUUUGGGAUUUUUGUUCUUUUUUUUUUUUUUUUUGAGACGGGGUCUUGCUAUGUAGUUCAGACUGGCCUUGAACUCACUAUGUAGUUUAGGCUGGCCUCAAACUCCUGGUGAUCCUCAU